rnacentral:rRNA from 1 species
AGAGUUUGAUCAUGGCUCAGGACGAACGCUGGCGGCGUGCUUAAUACAUGCAAGUCGAGCGGACCUUCGCCGUUUGUUGCCGGUUUCCGGCGACAAAUGGCAACGGUUAGCGGCGAACGGGUGAGUAACGCGUGGGUAAUCUGCCCCCAAGACCGGGAUAACAGGGCGAAAGCGCUGCUAAUACCGGAUGACCUCUCUUUAUCGCAUGGUGAAGGGAGCAAAGCUACGGCGCUUGGGGAUGAGCCCGCGUUCCAUUAGCUAGUUGGUGAGGUAACAGCUCACCAAGGCGACGAUGGAUAGCCGGCCUGAGAGGGUGACCGGCCACACUGGGACUGAGACACGGCCCAGACUCCUACGGGAGGCAGCAGUAGGGAAUUUUCGGCAAUGGGGGAAACCCUGACCGAGCAACGCCGCGUGAGGGAUGAAGGCCUUCGGGUCGUAAACCUCUGUCUUUGGGGACGAUAAUGACGGUACCCGAGGAGGAAGCCCCGGCUAACUACGUGCCAGCAGCCGCGGUAAU